UGGGGAAUUUUGGACAAUGGGGGAAACCCUGAUCCAGCCAUCCCGCGUGUGCGAUGAAGGCCUUCGGGUUGUAAAGCACUUUUGGCAGGAAAGAAACGUCGCGGGUUAAUACCCCGCGAAACUGACGGUACCUGCAGAAUAAGCACCGGCUAACUACGUGCCAGCAGCCGCGGUAAUACGUAGGGUGCAAGCGUUAAUCGGAAUUACUGGGCGUAAAGCGUGCGCAGGCGGUUCGGAAAGAAAGAUGUGAAAUCCCAGAGCUUAACUUUGGAACUGCAUUUUUAACUACCGGGCUAGAGUGUGUCAGAGGGAGGUGGAAUUCCGCGUGUAGCAGUGAAAUGCGCAGAUAUGCGGAGGAACACCGAUGGCGAAGGCAGCCUCCUGGGAUAACACUGACGCUCAUGCACGAAAGCGUGGGGAGCAAACAGGAUUAGAUACCCUGGUAGUCCACACCCUAAACGAUGUCAACUAGCUGUUGGGGCCUUCGGGCCUUGGUAGCGCAGCUAACGCGUGAAGUUGACCGCCUGGGGAGUACGGUCGCAAGAUUAAAACUCAAAGGAAUUGGAC
rnacentral:rRNA from 1 species